GACGAACGCUGGCGGCAUGCCUAACACAUGCAAGUCUAGGGGUAGCAAUACCACUGGCGCACGGGUGAGUAACACGUAGGUUAUCUGCCCCCAUCACAGACAUAACCCCGGGAAACCGGGGCUAAUAUCUGAUGAGGUCGCGAGAUCAAAGCUUCGGCGGAUGGGGAUGAGCCUGCGGCUGAUUAGCUAGUUGGUGAGGUAAUGGCUCACCAAGGCGACGAUCAGUAGCUGGUCUGAGAGGACGAACAGCCACACUGGAACUGAGACACGGUCCAGACUCCUACGGGAGGCAGCAGUGUGGAAUAUUGGUCAAUGGGAGCAAUCCUGAACCAGCAAUGCCGCGUGUGGGAUGACAGGGCUUCGCCUUGUAAACCACUGUCGGACGGGACGAAAGGAGGCCUCGGGCC
rnacentral:rRNA from 1 species